rnacentral:lncRNA from 1 species
CCAGGAACAGAGGUCUGUAUUUGACGUCAUAGUGAACAGAUUCUGUUGUACAAAAGAAUCCUCAGACACAUUGUUAUUGAAGUCAUUUUAAUGGUAGCGGACAGCACAAACGAAUUACAUAAUCUAAUACAUAUUACCACAGUGAUAUCUCCGGAAAUCAACUUGAACCUCUACUUUUAACGUCCAUUAAAACAAGAGUAAAAAUUCACAUAGAAAACAAGCUCUUAUAAAAAGAAAAAAAAUGAAAAAAUGAAAAAAUCUAGAAAAUUAUAAAAUCAGGCCAGAAAAUUGGAUUAUUUUCCAGUGAUGUUUUUUCAACCUUUCCUCAACGUCCUUUAAAAGACCACUUAAAUAAUAGGGACAGGAUCACCUGAAAUGACUCAUCCACACAAGGAACGUUGUCUUACGGUCGACACGUCAUACUUCUGUUUCUGGCAAACAACUACAAUCUAAGGGCUGAAUGUUUCCUCGUCGCCCCUUGACUGAAGUUGCUAAGUCACACAGACGUUGCGGUAACAUUUGUCAUUUUUAUACCUUUGAAAUAUACUGCAGGAAGCAAUGAUUAUUAUCAUGAAACGAUCUCUCAGCUCUUUGAUAAUAACAAUAUGUUGUGCUGGUAAAAGCCCAACAAGCUUGUGCUUGGCUCGAUUCCAGAGACCUGUACAAACCGAUCUCUGAUCAGCGCUUACGGGAAACCACAGUUGUUCAAGCAGAUGCUCUAACCGUUUGUGACUGACUUGAGAUCAGCAGUAGGGAUAUGUCAUGUUUGCAUAGGGAUUGGUAAAGCAUGGGUUAACUGGCAGAACUGCUUAUCAUUCUCCUUGGAUUACACGAACGUUGUGGCGGCAACAUUUGCUGAUGUUGAAUACAAAUACAAAACCGGAAAGGCCAGACAUUCAGCAACGGGUGUUGCAGUCUAAAGGGGCAAGCGCGCACACACACACGCACGGCGACACACACUCGGGGACACACACUCGUCUCAGCAUUUUUUGGGGGGCAGGUCUCCAGUGUGCUGUAACUUCAGCAGAAAGACCACAGCGCUGUUUAGGAAAUAUAGCAUUUAUGAUGACGGCAGACAGGCAGGCAGAGGCAGGACCAUACAGUAAUUACAGAUGGCAGAGCAUACCCAAGCACAAACUCGCACACGCACGCACACAACAUGAAUGCACAAACAACCACACACACACACACACACACGUAGCUCUGGACACACACACAAUUUCCUGCUUGUGGAGACGUCCUUUGAGAAUGGCCAAUAAGGCCCUAUAGUCUGUUUAUCACCGACAUAGUGACUCCUCCCUGUGAAUCAGAGAGAACAUAAAGAACCGGGGAAAUGAGAUGAGGACUGUGGAACACGUGCGCACACACACACUUAGACCUAUCCCUUGGUCCACCCUAACCCAACACAAACUCCUAUUGGACAACACGAGGGCUGACAUGUGCAACUUCAAGUUGUAUUGGUUGGCACUUGUUUCUUUUAUAAACAUACAGCAUAUUUGACAAUUACAGAGCAACAUUUAACAGGUUUGAAACCAAACCUGGGAAAAAGCUAAACAUGUUCUAUAAAACAUCAGGGCUUCCACAUAGGUAGGACAGUCCAACCAUCCAGAUUGGGAAAUCCAUCCUAUCCCUCUGGAGAAAAAAAUGAUAAAAAAUAGGAUCCCUUCUGAUAAAGUGUCUGUGGGACUGUCUCAAGACGUACUUCAGAGAGAGAGGAAAGUAGAUGGAUAGAUAGUGACAGUGUGUGUGAGAGAAAUUGAUAGAGAAAGAGACUGAAUGAGCGAUAGACAGAGUGCAGUGGAUGUGUGCAGAUGCUGACGCUUGACCAUUGAUACUGUACGUUUAUACGGCAGAGCAAGAGUCCUCCCUCAGCGUGGAAGCGACUAAUAGCAAGCCAGCCUGCGAAACCCUGGGAGUGUGGUUAAGGUUAGGAUAUGGGUAUGGUAGGCUGAUCCAAGAUCUGUGGCUAAGGGGUAACUUCUACCCGUUUUUUUUAACUGGACCGUGAUAGGCUUUCCUCUAAGAGAUCAUCUAGUGACCCCGCCCCCUCUAUGCUAGGCUCCUCCUUCUGUUCUGCCUUGGUCUUCUUAUUGAGCGGUUUGCUGAAGGAGGGCGGGGUGUCCUCCUUCAUCAACUCUUUGGCCAGGAUGUUCGUUACUGCAUGACCAGCUCUUCGGUUGGCUGAAAAGAAAGAAAGAGAGGUCAGACAAUUCAGGGUUGAUCAUCUGGCGGUAACAGACAUGCGACAGACAGGGAUAUUUGCGACGGGUCAGUUCCAUUCAGGAUGCAGUUCGGUACAGGGUAAAGACAACACGGCCAAACCAAACCUCUCACUGCAAACAUCAACCAGGCAACGUCCCAAAAUGGCACCCGAUCCCCUAUAUAGUGCACUACUUUUGACAAGGGGUCAUAGGGAUCUAAUCAAAAGUAGUGCACUAUGUAGGGAAUAGGGUGCCACUUUGGAUGUAAACACAGAGAGAAGUGACUGACUCACCACAGGCCAGGGCAGGCUGUUUGGAGGAAUACCUACUGUCUGCUGAUUGGUCAACAGUACACACACAUGCACAAGCAUGUAUUCUCAAUGGUGAUCAGGAGAAAGAACAAAAUGCACAUACACGAGACACAUGCACGUAUGCAUGCACACAGAGCAGUGGCGUUAAUGUGAGCAAGGCUUAGUGUGUGUGUGUGUGUGUGUGUGUGUGUGUGUGUACAGAACCCUUCACUACAUGUGUCAGAUAACUACCACACCACAUGGUCUUGCUGGCACAGAGAGACGGAAGGAGAGGAGGUGGAGGAAGGAACAGAGGAUUGGAGGCUGUGAGGAGAAAGGGGGGUGGGAGGAGAUCGGAGCAGGAAGGAACAGAGGAGGAUUGGAGGCUGUGAGGAGGGGAGAGGGAGGAGCAGGAAGGAACAGAGGAGGAUUGGAGGCUGUGAGGAGGGGAGAGGGAGGAGCAGGAAGGAACAGAGGAGGAUUGGAGGCUGUGAGGAGGGGAGAGGGAGGAGCAGGAAGGAACAGAGGAGGAUUGGAAGCUGUGAGGAGGGGAGAGGGAGGAGCAGGAAGGAACAGAGGAGGAUUGGAGGCUGUGAGGAGGGGAGAGGGAGGAGCAGGAAGGAACAGAGGAGGAUUGGAAGCUGUGAGGAGGGGAGAGGGAGGAGCAGGAAGGAACAGAGGAGGAUUGGAGGCUGUGAGGAGGGGAGAGGGAGGAGCAGGAAGGAACAGAGGAGGAUUGGAGGCUGUGAGGAGGGGAGAGGGAGGAGCAGGAAGGAACAGAGGAGGAUUGGAGGCUGUGAGGAGGGGAGAGGGAGGAGCAGGAAGGAACAGAGGAGGAUUGGAGGCUGUGAGGAGGGGAGAGGGAGGAGCAGGAAGGAACAGAGGAGGAUUGGAGGCUGUGAGGAGGGGAGAGGGAGGAGCAGAAAGGAACAGAGGAGGAUUGGAAGCUGUGAGGAGGGGAGAGGGAGGAGCAGGAAGGAACAGAGGAGGAUUGGAGGCUGUGAGGAGGGGAGAGGGAGGAGCAGGAAGGAACAGAGGAGGAUUGGAGGCUGUGAGGAGGGGAGAGGGAGGAGCAGGAAGGAACAGAGGAGGAUUGGAGGCUGUGAGGAGGGGAGAGGGAGGAGCAGGAAGGAACAGAGGAGGAUUGGAGGCUGUGAGGAGGGGGGACAU